ACGCGGGGCUCAAACUCACAGAUCGCGAGAUCAUGACCUGAGCAGAAGUUGGACGCUUAACUGACAGAGCCACCCAGGUGCCCAUAGAGUUUUUCUCUAGGGAAGAGAAUGCGUUCUCCUGCGGCAUGAACUCUUAAUGAGUAGGAUGUUGGUGUUCUGACUCAUACAUGUGACUCUUAGGAGCCUGGUUAAUGUCUGUCCUCAAGAGGAUGUUUAGUUUCCAGACAUGCACAGUUGAAGAUAGGACCAUGGAAUGAGGCUAAAUUACCAAAGCAAAUGUCUCCUACUUCUCAGGUCUCCUGUCAGCCAUCUAGCAACAUCCACGUCUCUCUGCUCACCUUCAUUCUGUGAAAGCUCUGAUGCUGACAAAAGGCCUUCCACCAUAUUUCAAUAAUAGACUCUGGCCAUGCUGAAAAGAUAGGCAGUCUUAUGCAUUUGAUUGUUUAGGCUUAGUAAGAUACCAGAUUUUAAAAGUAUAAAAUUCCAGGUUCACCUGUGGGAUUUUGAUACUGAUUUUCCCAACCUUAAUCUACACUACCUGGUUAUCCCCAGAUAUAGCAGGUGGGUGGCUAGAAUAUGCGGUAGGGUGGUGAACAUCCACCUACGUAGGGCUGUCAGGCUUUUAGUUGUCAGAUGAUCAUUCUGCUCCUGAAAAUGGAAAAUCUCUCAUUCACCUUCCUUUUCACAGGAGCAGCUUAAACCUGAACAUCAGAGUUGGAGAAUGGAAAGCAGUAAUUCUGGGACACAAACCGAUACACUUUGUUCAGAGAAUCUGAGUCAUGAGGAAGGAAGGUGCCUGGUGCUACCAACACUGGGAAUACGCAGUCAGUUCUUCUCCAAAUUUAAUAUUCUAUGGUUUCUCCCCUACCCACUCAUCUCCCGAGUGGAUUCAUUCCAGAGUUAAUCACUAUGACAGCUUUAGGAAAUACUGAGGAGGGACAGUUUCUGGCGGAGUAGUGAAGAUCUUUACGAGAUCUUUAUCCUGACCCCCCCCCCCCCAAAUAGGGGGAGAAAUAAAAGUGGAAAGAGACAGAGACUGGCAGAGAUUACUUGUUGGGAGGGUAGGGUAAAAUAAGUAAUUUAGAACAAUACCCUGAGCUGGGGAUUGUACUUCCCUAGGAGUAACUCAUUCUCUCAACCACCUGGUAAGUUUUUUCCAAAAAACACAACAGGUCUUCCCUGCAGUUUCUGACUUGGGAUAUGAGGGUGGCCUCAUUGAGCUGCGGUUCAUAAAGGGAUGCCCUGGAAACUACCAGAAGCAAUGAAGGCACUGGAAACUCGGAUGUUGCCGAGAAAACAGGGCAUGAGUGAAGAAAACCCAUCUCAAGCAAACAAUCCUCGACUUCACCCUGUGAAGACUAAUUGUUAGAGACGGAUGUAAACAAAAGAUUCUCUUUUGAGAGAUACACGCAAGAUAUUAACCGUGACCACUUCCUACGCCGUACUUCUGUCUUGCUAGCUGCUGGGUUUUGCUAAGCCUUGACUUUUAACGAGCACUACUACAAGUGAGCAGUUACAUUUUAAAUGUUGUUGGCUUGUUCAAACCUUGCUGCACAAGUAUUAAUAAGAGGCAAAUUAAAAGGGGUUUUGAGACCAA